GUGCCAGCAGCCGCGGUAAGACGAGGGAUCCUAGCGUUGUUCGGAAUCAUUGGGCGUAAAGCGGGUGUAGGUGGCUUGGUAAGUCAGGUGUGAAAGCCCAGGGCUUAACCCUGGAAGUGCAUUUGAAACUGCCGAGCUUGAGUGUGGGAGAGGAUAGUGGAAUUCCUGGUGUAGUGGUGAAAUACGUAGAUAUCAGGAGGAACAUCGGUGGCGAAGGCGGCUAUCUGGCCCAACACUGACACUCAGACCCGAAAGCGUGGGGAUCAAACAGGAUUAGAAACCCUUGUAGUCC
rnacentral:rRNA from 1 species